UGGGGAAUUUUGGACAAUGGGGGAAACCCUGAUCCAGCCAUCCCGCGUGUGCGAUGAAGGCCUUCGGGUUGUAAAGCACUUUUGGCAGGAAAGAAACGUCAUGGGUUAAUACCCCGUGAAACUGACGGUACCUGCAGAAUAAGCACCGGCUAACUACGUGCCAGCAGCCGCGGUAAUACGUAGGGUGCAAGCGUUAAUCGGAAUUACUGGGCGUAAAGCGUGCGCAGGCGGUUCGGAAAGAAAGAUGUGAAAUCCCAGAGCUCAACUUUGGAACUGCAUUUUUAACUACCGGGCUAGAGUGUGUCAGAGGGAGGUGAAAUUCCGCGUGUAGCAGUGAAAUGCGUAGAUAUGCGGAAGAACACAGAUGGCGAAGGCAGCCUCCUGGGAUAACACUGACGCUCAUGCACGAAAGCGUGGGGAGCAAACAGG
rnacentral:rRNA from 1 species